AUGAUACUAAGCCUCAACCAAGUCAAUGACCAAAUCAAGUUAGUUAAGGAAACCAUUGGAAUGCUUUGUAUGGAUGCAGGGAAAAUUGGCACGAACCUAAAAACUGGAAAAAUUUAUGGGCCGAUGAAAUUAAACAGCUCAUGGAACCUAGUUUACAGAGUAAAGGAGAACAUGUUUUACAGAGAAAAUAUAAAAAUAAACCACAUACAACCACUAGACAUAAUUAUAGCAAUCACUAUCUCAAUCUUCUCACAAAUGUGGAAGAUUUCUCACUUUCUGUCUACUUGUUGUAAUCUAACUUCCUGUAAACUUACAACUUCUGCAAUUGGUUUUUAA